rnacentral:lncRNA from 1 species
GAAUUCCAUGACCCAGUUUACAGUAAAUUGGAAGUAGACAGAAGGUGUAUUAGUCUGACCACAAAGAUGGAAAAGAAAAUCUAUCAAAAAAGAGACAGACUACUCAGUCAGAUAAUGAGGCCCUUCAAGUUAUAAAUAAGCUUUCCUGCUUAUAUCAGGACACCUUCAUCCUAUUAUUGUAUUAUAGCAUAGUACAAUUAUAUUUGGUCACAAUACUGACAAUGAGUCAUCCACAGCAUCAUCACCCAGCAUUUAUUGAUGUCUACUGUAAAGUAGAGUUGGAUGGCACCAUUUCUGCUCUCAAACAGUUUAAAAGAUCCCUGUGCAGAAAAAGACGUAUUUAGAACAUUUUGGUUGGUAAGGUGAUAUGUAACAAACUUGAGAUCUUAUAGGAUAGGAGAACACUAGGACACUAAUUAGGAACUGGUCCCAGGAACAAAGACCUUCUGGACUCAUCUGACAAGAUAAGAAUCAUCAAGCAUUCUUCCAGCAGAAAGUGACAAAGCCCUCCUUGAGCUGCUCAUGAGAAUUCACAAAUUUUUCAGAUAAAAGAUGCCUAUUUUAUUCUGGCUGAAAGCAUGAACAGAAUAAACAAUGAGCUCUGUGAAGAAUGUUCUAUGAACCCGAAUCAAACUCAAACUCCUGUGUCACUCCGGUACGCCUGAUCACUGGAUAUAACCACGUAUUGGUCCAGAACCUCCCUCUCUGUUACUACUCCCUUUGGAUUUAUCCAGUAGUCUUAGACGUCACCAGGGCCAAGCCAUGCAUAUAUAGAUUGAAAUGUUGUUUUCAAAACCUACUCAAGCUAUCUCUUGAUGAACAAGAUUAGUACCAUCUGAUUACAACCCUGAAGAGUCUAGAUUCCUUAUUCUGCAAAAUGGAUUUAUUGUAUCUCAAGGCACUGUGAAGUUUGCAGUAGCAUGUAUAGGCAAAAAGGAAAGUCCAAAGAGAGGAAAAGAAAGCAGGAGAGAUCUGAAAUGACACAAGAAGUGACUCAGAAUGGGAAGAUUGUGCACUCCUUGUUGUCCCCUAAUGCACAUGGAAGUAUGCAACAGAAGCUGUGAAAAUAACCCAGAGAGAAAGAAAAAAAUGAUGUAAAUUUAAACAUAGCAUAUUCUGGAAACAGUAUGCUUAUGGAACAGCCAGAGAGAUUUUCAAAACUUGAUCAUCUAAAUGCAGAGAACAGUUUCAAGGCUCUUUCUCACUUUCUCAUUUGAUUCCUGCAAUUGAAGCCAUCUGCUAUGCUGUGUCCUGUUCUUUGGAUCAGCACAUAUGACAAGGAAGUGAAAGUAGUCUCUGUCCAACAAUCAGUCUAACAGCCUGAGAAGAACUGAAUUCUGUCAAUGACCACGUAAGCUUCGAAGCAGACCUUUCGCUUGUUGAGCCUUCAGAUAGACAGCAGCCCUAGCUGACAUCUUAACUGCAGUCUUGUGACAGGUCCUCAGACAGGAUAAGCCAAAUUAUACCCAGACUGCUGAUCCACAGAAAAUGAGAGGAAACUCCAGGAUUCUAAAAGUAAAGCCCUAUGGAAAUAAAUCAAUAACAUUUCAAAUGAAGAACCAAAAUCGGGAAAUGCAAAUCACAACUCUAACAUCAACAUUAACUUAUAGCCAGACAAUUAUGCAUUUCUUUAGUCAACAACUAGCUGCUAAUUAUUUACUAUGUGUCAAGUCUUAUAAUGCUGAAGUGAAGAAAAGAGAUUUAAAGUCAUGGAUGUGGUUUCCUUUGGACCUUAAAUUCUAGCACAAAAUAUGAUAAACAUUGUAAUCAAUGCUAUCAUGUACAGGUAUGUGGUGUUAUGUGAAUAUAUGGGAAUACCUAAUUCGUAAACUGGGUUUAGAAAAUUCUUGCAGAAGAAAGUGGCAUCCAAACAAAGAACCAAGAACGAAUAAAAAUUAUUAUAGAUAAAGUGAAGCGGGUCUAGUGGAAUGACAAAAUUACUGAGUGUCAAGAGGUGGAAGGACUUGGUGAAUAAUUUGAAAAGGAACCAUCGGAGGAUGAUGGCCACAUUUCUGGCUCCAGCCAUCAGUAUGAACUUAUGGUUGAAGGCAUUCUCAGGGGUUAACAAGAAUUCUGGACAGAAAUAUGGCUAUAAUGACAUGGAGGCCAGCUUAUACAGAUGGCAAAAUCACAAGAUUGAAAGAUACUGAAUCAUUGAGUCACUACCUUGUAGAGACCUAUUCAGGAAAACAGGCUGGCAUCAGACCAACGUAAGGUUGAUAAAUAAACCAUCAUUGCAAUAAGCUACUGAGAUCUGGGGGUUGUAUUACAGCAAGUAGUAUUUGUUAUUCUAACUACUACAAAAACUAAUACUCACUAAGCAGUUACAAUGCCCUAGAAAUUUUACUAAAUGGCUUGCAUACAUUAACCCUUUUAAACUCUGAUGAACCAUCCUUACGUAGGUAUCUUUGUUAUCCCCAUUUUACAAAUGCAAAUCUGAAGUUAAAAGACUACAUGACUUACAUAGGGUUACAAAGAUAUUCCAAAGAAUGGGAAUUUCCUUGAAGACGGAGGCAAACCUAAAAUAAGUUUGUACUCUAAGAGUUAAAUAAGCAAAAUCCACUGGAAGAGAUUAGCUAUUUGUAAAUGCAUUGUCAAUGUGAGUUUUUGGUAAAUGGGAGUCGUGAAUUUAAUCCCAAACCAUUAAUUUUAGAGACAAAAGAAGAUAUAUAAAAAUCCCUGGUUUUAUUUUAAUUUUAUAUUUUUUAGUAAACAGACCACUAUGGAAUUGUUAAAAUGUAUUUUACAGCCAUUUUUAAGGUUACAAAUAAUUUUUGUUAUGGGAUCUUUCUAUAUUUUAUGACUUUAAUUAAAUUUCUGAUUUCUGUUCCAAACAUUGCAAUAUAAGACAGUAUAAAACACACUUUAAUCAUUAAAUUUAUAGAUAAUUUUGUGACUUUUUAGAGCUUAUAACACCAAGGGACUGAUAAUAGAGGAUAAUGUGCAUAAAAUACACUCCGGCACAUUCCACAAACUCUAUCCUUAGGAUCUUUUUUUCCCAUAACCCAGCCACUAAUACAUACACUAAGAAAGUCUCAUCCGGGCUGUUCUACAAUUGCCAUCAUCUUUAAAGAGUAAUCUUGUCACCUGAACUAGGUGAAAUGAAGAACUUUUAAAACAACCACACGGAUCCGACUUUGCAGAAGCUUCUACGAAGACAAAUAGCAUCAAACAGACAUGUACUGUGCAUUCAUAAUUACAUUAGUGGCCACAAAAUACAAUGCUUAGUACACAUCCUUGGAACUCUUAAAACCAUCUUAAAUAAGAGAUCAAGCAAAUUUAAUUCUUUGUGAAAAUAUAUCUCAAGGUAGUUUCUACUGUCCUUAAUUUUUGUAGUAUAAAAUUUAACAAAGUAACAUCGCAUGUUCUUGUCCUUAAUUCCUUGGGGUCUAAUGAUUACAUUUUGAACAAAUGUCCAAUUUGGAAACCAAAUCAACCACUUUAUUUAAUGCAGAACACUAUAACAUUUUUUGGGGGGGGGGGCAGGGUCUCACUUUGUCACCCAGGCUGCAGUGCAGUGGCAGAA